CUGGCCUGAAGCUGUCCUCCCACCUCAGCUUCCCAAAGUGUUAGGAUUACAGGUGUGACCCACCACACCCAGCCUACCUGUCUUAGAGACAGUUGUCCAGACAGCUAUCUUUUAGGCCACAUCUAGGAGAUGAUAAAGCCAUGUCAUCUACAUAUGAUAAUGAUGAAUAAUCCUCAAAAUGUUUUUUAAUCCUCAACUAUAUGAAAGCAUUUGAAUUUGGCUUAUCAGAAUAACAAGCUUCAGUGGGAAAUACAGCAAUUAUUUAUUUAAAAAAUCAGAUUUAAGAUGGACUUUCUUAUUGCAUGAAAAAGAUGGAGAAACAUGCCAUUUUUCAAUGAAGAUUCUAAUAUUUUAUCUAUUUUGUUCAUUGAAUUCCAUGGUUAAAUCUCAUAAAAUAUAUACUUUAUUAAAUCAUCCAACCAAAGCGUAGGAAACAUUGACCCAGAACCUGACUUAAUGGUUUUGAAGAUUUACUAUGCAAUAGGGUAACUUUGAGUUUCAGCAAAUGUCUUUAGGUUGAAGGAAUUACCUAUGUCAUGAAGGACCUGUCUGUGGUUUUUCAAUGGAGUCUUUAAGCAUGAUAUUUUUUCUGUCUAGUACUUGUUUUCAUUCUGGCCAGCAGUUCUACAUUAAAUCACCUUGUCAAGGGCUCUGUUUAUGUCUAUACAUUUUGAAGAUGAAAUUUUUAGCCUUAAAGUUUAUAUUCUCAAGUCGUUUUACAAUCAGUGUGUCUCCUGAACUAGCACACAGGCUGUAGAAACAGUCUUAGAAAUCAUUGAAAGAUUUGAUUAUGAAAGAAUAGCAAGAUUAUAUUUCUUGACAUAUAAAAAGUUGGUUUAAUACCUUUAUUUCUCUUUAAGGACCAGAACCAGGAAUACUAUAUCGAAAAAUUAGUCUGUGGAUUUAACAUUGACUUAGCAUAUAGCUUAAAGUUGCUCUUUUGGUUUUUAACUUCCUCCAUACAUAAGCUUCAAGGACAAUAAGAUGUUAAAAAGGAGGAAAUAAUUAUUUUUAUUUUGACACUGUGACAGUUUUGGUAACUAGGAUCCUAGGGAGGGAAAUGUUUGCCUGUUGAACUUCUUUCUGUUAUGAGAGGAUUUAGUUAGGUCAUUAAGAUGAUGAUCACACAGCUUCAAUCACAAUAUGCCAAGUAUAACCUGGUUUCGUUAGAGGUGUCUACAGUCCAGAUGUUCUUCGUAAUAAAAGCAAAGUUUUUGAACCUCUGAGUCCAAAGCAGGCUGGUUGGCAUAAUAUGUAAUUUGAAAAAUAAAAUCUUAUCUUGCAGCACUAUCAGUAUGUUGAAUUUAUUAUGUAUAUUAUUUCUAAUAUCUGAAACUAAAUACUUGAUUUUUUAAUAUGUGUGUUUAUUUUAUGAUAUUGCUAUUAAAUUUUUAUUGUCU
rnacentral:lncRNA from 1 species